GCCCCGGUAGUGUAGUCCGGUUAAGCGCAAGCGCCGAUAGCAUACAGGCCUUUCGAGCCUGCGACCCGGGUUCGAAUCCCGGCCGGGGCA
rnacentral:tRNA from 2 species